rnacentral:rRNA from 1 species
UACGUAGGGUGCAAGCGUUGUCCGGAAUUAUUGGGCGUAAAGAGCUCGUAGGCGGUUUGGCAAGUCGGGUGUGAAAACUCCGGCUCAACUCGGAGACGCCACUCGAUACUGCCAUGACUCGAGUCCGGUAGGGGAGUGCGGAAUUCCUGGUGUAGCGGUGAAAUGCGUAGAUAUCUGGAGGAAUACCGGUGGCGAAGGCGGCAUCCUGGACCGGCAUUGACGCUGAUGAGCGAAAGCUAGGGGAGCAAACGGGG